rnacentral:rRNA from 1 species
GAUGAACGCUGGCGGCGUGCCUAAUACAUGCAAGUCGAGCGAACAGAUGAGGAGCUUGCUCCUCUGACGUUAGCGGCGGACGGGUGAGUAACACGUGGAUAACCUACCUAUAAGACUGGGAUAACUUCGGGAAACCGGAGCUAAUACCGGAUAAUAUAUUGAACCGCAUGGUUCAAUAGUGAAAGACGGUUUUGCUGUCACUUAUAGAUGGAUCCGCGCCGCAUUAGCUAGUUGGUAAGGUAACGGCUUACCAAGGCAACGAUGCGUAGACGACCUGAGAGGGUGAUCGGCCACACUGGAACUGAGACACGGUCCAGACUCCUACGGGAGGCAGCAGUAGGGAAUCUUCCGCAAUGGGCGAAAGCCUGACGGAGCAACGCCGCGUGAGUGAUGAAGGUCUUCGGAUCGUAAAACUCUGUUAUUAGGGAAGAACAAAUGUGUAAGUAACUAUGCACGUCUUGACGGUACCUAAUCAGAAAGCCACGGCUAACUACGUG